rnacentral:rRNA from 1 species
UACGUAGGGGGCUAGCGUUGUCCGGAAUCAUUGGGCGUAAAGCGCGCGUAGGCGGCCAGAUAAGUCCGGUGUGAAAGCCACAGGCUCAACCUGUGAAUGCCGCUGGAUACUGCGGAGCUAGAGUACGGAAGAGGCGAGUGGAAUUCCUGGUGUAGCGGUGGAAUGCGCAGAUAUCAGGAGGAACACCAAUAGCGAAGGCAGCUCGCUGGGACGUUACUGACACUGAGGCGCGAAAGCGUGGGGAGCGAACAGG